CAACACAAACCCAACCAUAGAAGGAGAAAACCACCAGCAGAAAACAAGAGGAAUAUCAGCCAAAAGUUUUCCAGAGAAAAAACCCCAUUAGAAGCACAAAACAGAGAUCAGGAAAAUCGACUUUGAAACCCAGCAAAGGAGAUUCCGCGAACCUUCUCCAAACUUCAAAGUCUACUCACAUCUCAAACCCAAAGGAAGAAAGCAGAGCGGUCUAUCUCAGCCAAAUCUGCAACAGAGGAAGGAGCCUCCUCAACCCAAAAACAGGGAGAUACCCGAUGUCGUCCCUCCUUCGCUAAAGCAUGCGCCGCUCUAUUUAUUUCUCUGGAGACAAACUGGAAAGACACUUUCUCAAAAAACCUCUCAAGAGAACGAAUAUUCUGUGAAAUUGGGCUGAGAAUAGAUCUAUCCAUUUUGUUUGAUGUCAGUUUCUUAAUGACAGUAAGAGAGUCACCUUCCAGGAUGAGAUUUCUGAAACCCAUAUCUAGCAUAAAAUAAAGAGCCCAUUCACACACUCUCGCCUCAGCUACAAAAGCAUUUGCCACAUCCGCUAUCGGGUAUGUACAAGCACCUAAAAUCUGCCCUUUCUCAUCUCUAGCUAAAACUGCUGAAAUAGAAGUCUUAGAAUUUUCUAGGAACGAUGCGUCAAAAUUCAGUUUAAUAAAACCAGAAAUAGGAGGCUGCCAUAGAAGAGUCCUAUGCGUAACAGAUGGAGAACUGAAAACUUGACUAAAAUUUGAAACUUGGGCAAAGCUUUGAACAAGUCCCACAACUUCAUGUAAAGCGAAAUUAAGACCUUCAUUCACCAGUCUAUUCCUCCUGUGCCAAAGAACCCACAAGGAGAUAGAUAUAAGCUUCUUACUAUUCCCAUUACCUGCAAGAAAGAAACUAACAAAUUGUGAUCUUCCAUCUGAAGAGUCUAUUCUGGUGACCAGAGGGAGACAAAGAGCCGACCAAAGAUGGCGUAACACUCUACAGGACCAUAAUCGGUGGUGCAAGGUCUCUGGAGCCUCAUUGCACAAAGGGCAAGCAGAAUCAACUCGAAGUCUCCCUUUAACCAGAUUGGAAAGAUGGGGCACGUAGUCUUUUAGAGAAUGCCAAAGAUGAAUUUUGAUCUUUGCAGGGAUUUGAAGAUCCCAGAUAGAUGAAUAGAGCUUUUUGUCAAUAUCAGUUGUAACCAAAAUGUUUUCUGCAUGUUGAGGUUCUUUUGUAAUUAGCGCUCGGUACCCACUUUUCACCGAAUACUCCCCUGAAGGAUCAUGACGCCAGACAAGUGAGUCUGGUAAACAGCUUGAAGCAAGAGGAAUGUGGAAAAUACGUCGAGCCUGAAAGUCAUCACAGAAAUUUAGAAUUAGCUCCUUGUUCCAGGUACUAGAAUCCACAUUAAUCAACUGACUGACAGUAGACCAACGAAUAUCAAUAUUCGUAACCAACAGUCUACCAUUACCACGACCAGGAAGCCUGGGGUCGUUUCAGAUAUUCACUUUAGCACCAUUUCCAAUUUUCCACAGAAGCCCGUCAUCGAACAAAUCUCGAGCCCCACAAAUACUCCUCCAGGUAAGAGAAGGGUAAGAUCCAGUUUUUGCCGAAAGUAUAUCAGAAUAAGGAUAAUAGCGAGAUUUAAAAACUUUCAAAAGAAGGCAGUCAGGUUGAGUUAAAAGUCUCCAGACUUGUUUAGCUAAAAGAGCCUUAUUAAACAAGGAAAGAUCCCUAAAACCCAUACCACCAUAAGCUUUCGGUAAACAUAAUGCACUUCAUUUGCUCCAAAUAAUUCCUUUGGCAGUUUUACUAUUUGCCCACCAAAAUUUGUUUAAAAUGCCCUCCAGUUGAUAGCAAAUCGUUUUUGGCAAUGUAAAACAUUGCAUCACGUAAACUGGAAUUGCUUGAAGAACAGCCUUAAUGAAGACUUCUUUACCACCCAUCGAUAAAUACCGAAUCUUCCAGCCCUCAAUACGUCUUCGAAAUCUAUCCACAAAUUUAGCAAAAGCCCAUUUUUUCUUUCUUCCAAUCAUCAUAGGCAGGCCCAAAUAAUUUUCAGGAUUCGAAGCCAAUCUAACACCCAAAAUGCUAACAACUGAAUUCUUAACAUCCGUUUCAACACAAGCGCCGAAGAAAAUGAGCGACUUUUCCAAAUUAAUUUUUUGCCCCAAGACAGCCUCAUAUUCUCGAAGGAUGUUACGAACAGUGUAAGCUCCCUCAUCCGAGGCGUCUCCAAAAAUAAUACAAUCAUCUGCAAAUAACAAAUGAGUAAUUGAUAGCUUUCCUUUACCAAUCAAGGCACCCUUUAAGCAAUUCUUGGCUUUGGCCUCAUUCAAAAGACAAGAAAGACCUUCCGUACAGAUAAGGAAAAGGUAGGGGCUAAGAGGAUCACCUUGGCGCAGACCUCUAGACGGCACAAAACACUCACUUUUAGACUCGUUAUUCCCACUGUAUAUGUAACGGAGCAGACACAACGCAUAAUGAGAACAACCCAAUCUUGAUGAAAGCCCAAUUGAGUUAACAUUCCUGCCAAAAAAUCCCAUUCAACUUGAUCAUAAGCUUUGCUAAGAUCGAGUUUCAGAGCAAAAUUCCCUUUUUUGCCUUUCUUUUUCAUCUUCAAGGUGUGAAGAACCUCAUAGGCAAUUAAAGUAUUGUCUGAUAUUUGCCUUCCCGAAAUAAAAGCUCCUUGGGCUUCGUCAAUGCAGAAACCCAAAAAAGGGCUCAUGCGAUCCACAAUAACUUUUGCAAUGAUCUUAUAAAGGACAUUACAUAAGCUUAUGGGCCAGAAUUGGGCCAUGUUUUUUGGCUUGUCAACUUUGGGAAUAAGAACCAGGUGAGUUCUGUUAAUUUCUUCCAUUACAAUCCUCCCGUUUAAAACUUCCAAACAAAAAUGAGAAACAUCAUCACCAACAAUAUGCCAGUACCAUUGAUAAAACAGUACGGGAUAACCAUCAAUACCUGGGGCCUUCAAGGGAGACAUUGAUUUGACCGCACACCAAAUAUCUUCCUUCGUGAAAGGUUUAAGAAGGUUCUCAUUCAUCUCAUCUGAAAUCCUAUUCUCAACAAGAUCAAGCACCCUGUCAUUAGCUC
rnacentral:lncRNA from 1 species